rnacentral:rRNA from 1 species
AUUGAACGCUGGCGGCGGGCCUAACACAUGCAAGUCGAACGAGUGGCGGACGGGUGAGUGAUGUCUGGGAAACUGCCCGAUGGAGGGAGCUAACUACUGGAAACGGUAGCUAAUACCGCAUAACAUCGUAUGUGCCCAGAUGGGAUUAGCUAGUAGGUGGGGUAACGGCUCACCUAGGCGACGAUCCCUAGCUGGUCUGAGAGGAUGACCAGCCACACUGGAACUGAGACACGGUCCAGACGCCUACGGGAGGCAGCAGUGGGGAAUAUUGCACAAUGGGCGCAAGCCUGAUGCAGCCAUGCCGCGUGUAUGAAGAAGGCUUUCGGGUUGUAAAGUACUUUCAGCGAGGAGGCGUUACUCGCAGAAGAAGCACCGGCUAACUCCGUGCCAGCAGCCGCGGUAAUUC